CAUAGCCUGCUGUGGAGGGUGCAGGUUGGGGCUUGUCCAUAUCCACGGUGGGACUCUGAGGUGGGAUCCCUAAUCAGGCCUCAGUUUCUUCAUCUGUCCCUGCCGUGCAGGAGAGUCCAGUGAUAGGAGCAGGGCAGGCUAUUCAGAUGUCUGAGCUACAGAGGGGACCCAGUUUCAGGGAGCACAGGCCCCUCAGGUGGCCACCCCUGGCUUCAGUCCCAGCUAGGCCAGGGUCUAUGGGAGAAGAGGCUCCGCCUUUGAGGGUGAGUAUGGGUUCCUGCACAGAGCAUCCAGGAAGGGGCUCCUCAGUUCCCUGACUUCACUGAGGUUGGGUGCACUGCUGGGGGCCUCCUACUGGGCCCUCCCAGUUUCAUGGACUGGGCAAUGCCCCAUGGGAAUUAUGGGUAUUGCCCUCUUGAGAAACUUUUUUGAGACAGUGUCUUGUUCUGUCACCCAGUCUGGCAUGCAGUGGCAUGAUCAUAGCUCACUGUGCCUUGACCUCCCAGGUUCAAGUGAUCCUCCCACCUCAGCCUCCAAGUAGCUGGAACAACAGGCCCACAUCAACAUGCUCAGCUAAUUUUUAAUUUUUUUGUAGAUAUUGGGUCUUGUCAUAUUACCCAGGCUGGUCUUACACUCUAGGGCUCAAGCGAACUGCCUGCCUCAGCCUCCCCAAGUGCUAGGAUUACAGGUGUGAGACCCCAUGCCCAGCCAGGCAACUUUUUUUUUUUUUUUUUAAACAGGGAGUUAUUUUAUUUUAUUUAUUUUUAGAGAUGGGGUUUCACCAUCUUGGCCAGGCUGGUCUUGAACUCCUGACCUCUGAUCCACCCAUCUAGGCCUCCCAAAGUGCUGGGAUUACAGGCGUGAGCCACCACACCCGGUGAAACUUUGUAUUUUAUUAGUAGUAUUUUAAAAAAAUAAUUCCCAUUUCUGUAAUAGCUAACAUUUGAGAACUUGAGGCAGGCAGUGUGACAUUUGGAAGCACCGUGUGACAUUUGGAGCCAUGGGUAGGGGCAGGUACCCUGUGUGGUUGGCGACCUCAGUUUCUCCCACAGGGGCUUGUUUGCCACCUGCUAUGUUCUCAUCCCCGUCCUGGGCAUCUCCCUGUUGGCUUGUGUGUCACACUGGCCUGUCCGUAUGGCUGCACGGUGCCCUGCCACCUGGAUGCACCACAGUCCACCAGCCAGCGCCCCCACUAGCUCUCUGGGGGUGCUAACUCCAGGUACUGGGGCUGCAGGUGGGAGGCGGCAGCCAGGCCUGAGGCUGUGCCCAUCUGUGACCUGAGGAGCCGUGGCAGCCACCUGAGGGGCCAACAGGUGUGGGAGCCCCAGAGCCACCACAGUGCCCAGAAUGGCAUUUCCACUUCACUGGUCAGGCCUAAAGUCCUGAGGGGCCUUUGCUCCAGGGACCCCUCCAUCCCCGCACCCCUCCAUCCUCCAUGCCUCCAUUCCUGCAUCGCUUCGCCUUUCCACCCCAGCAUCCUCCAUCCCUGCUCUGUACUCUCACUUCCCUUCCCAGACAGGCUUUUCCUGCUUCUUCAGACCUCACCCAUGGUUACCUGAUACCUUUCCAGCUGCACAUGGAGGCUGACUCACCUCUCUCUCUUCUUUUUUUUCUUUUAUUCCCUCCUUCCCUCCCUCCCUCCCCGACUCACCUCGCUUUGUCUCAGAGCCAGAGUCCUGAAAGAGCAUCUGAUGUGGCCAGCUUGUUACAAGGCAUCCACCUUCUGUUCAUAACACGGAGGCCAGGGAAGGGUCUCACUGCCCAGAACCCCACCCUGUGCUCCCAGCCCUUUCUGUUCCUCCUGCUCAGCCCAGUGACUGCAGGUCGGUGCUCUUCCCUACAGCCUCCCGUUGAGGCCCUGGUCUGUCUUAGGCGGCCCCGGAUGUAGGCCUGGCCUCAGCCACCAGGCAUUGACCCUUUCUCUGGCUUCACAGACUCAGGGAUAAGGUUUCCUUCCUUAAGGAGGAGGAAACAAGGAGAUCCUGUUGGCAGCUGAGCCACGCUAGGAACAGGGGCCUGAGUCCUGGACCAGGGCUCUUUCCCCGGGGCUGCUGAUGGGGAGGAGCCUGCACCCUCCUCCCCUGAGUGCUCACUUUGAUGAAAGGGCCCAGGACUGUGCUAACCAGACCUCUCUGACAGGCUCACCUCUCUCUGGAGAAUGGCCAGUCAGCCUGAGGCCACCGCAGGACACCGCUUCGACUCAGCUUCUCCCCGCGAGUUUCCCUCUCCCAAGAGGCCACAACUCUGCCUCAUUUUCCCCAUUGUUUCUCCGUCAGACCUCUUGAUAUGGUUCCUGACAGCCACCAGAGGGCGCCAGAGCCCACCAGGCCGCGUAGGAGAUGGAAAGAAGGUCUGGUGCUUCCACCUCGCGGCCAAUUCCUGGAAUGAAUCUCGGAACCCUCAUUACUCAGCGACUCUGCCCAUCUAGCUGGUUUGAAUCUGUUUCACAUUGACCCUUUACAUGAACCAGAGCAGCUGCUUCCCCCACGAGCUGUCAGAAGGCUAACACCUGUCUUGCUAGUGAGGAAACUGAGGCUCAGAGAGGCAGAAGACUUGCUCAAGAUCACGCCACCGGGACCCAGGGUUCAAGUGCAGGCCUGCCCAACAUUUCCCAGGUUCUCUGUGGCCUCCUGGCUUCGAGGAGGAAGCCAGAGACCAGGUGCCACCUUUCUGAGGUGAGGCAAGGAACGCCUGGCCCUGGGGCAUGUCUGACUUGGUGAAGAUCCCAUGGGUUGGUUGCGGCACGGUUCCAGCUUGCAGGGUCUGGUGUGGGCAGCAGCUCUCUGCCUUCCCCCCGUUCCUGGUGGGUGGCGCCAGCAGAGCCCACCCCAGCUUCACUCCCCUGCAUGCUGCUUGCCAGUCGGGGGUCUGCUGCAUCCAAGGUCCUGGCCAAUCCCCUCCACUCCUGAAACCUUCGUUUCCUUGUCUGUGAAAUGGGGAUGUGGAGGCACCUCCUACACCUGCUGAGAGCUGAGUGAAGUCCUGCGUGGGCAGUGCCCCGGCAAGGAGGACCCACCGACCACACGGCUCAGGCGGCUCUCUGGUUGGCUUUGGAUUUCCUCACAGAUGCAGGAGAUCCCAGGCAGAGAUGAUUGAAGUGGGAUUACUGUGAGUGUGUCUGAAUGCUGGAGGAAGAAGGGCAGCUGGGAGAUGAAGCCAGUAGGACUGGGUCAAAUCCCAUUUCCUGCCUCGUUUCAAUUCAACUUUCCAACAGCCCUCCCAGUCUCAUCUUGCUCUUAUCUAAUGGACAAGCAAACAGGCUCAGAGAGGUGGUGUGACUUGCCCAAGGUCGCUCAGCUUGGAUGCUGUGGAACAGGGACUUCCACUGCCCCAGUCUGUCUAUGGGAAGCCACUCUGUAGCUGCCCUGACCCCUCGUUCUCUGGACCAGUGUGGCCCAGCUCCAGGUUCUUGGGGCCUUUCCUGAGAGCAGGCAGCUGUGACUGUGUCCCCAAAGACCUUAGUGUCUGAGAGGGCCCCACAGAGCUUGGGCUCCCUGGUGGAAGAGGAGGGGUCUGCCAACCACCCACCCUACCCCUGCCCCAGGGCUCCCCUAGAGCUUCUAUGCCAGCCGGAUUCAGGUGGGCCCCAGGGAGCAUCGUGCCUCGAAUCAGACUUUGAGAUGUGCCCUGUCCCCCGUGCCCUUCCCUGCUCAGGACUAUGGUUAGAAACCCUGACUAAGGCCGGUCGUGGUGGCUCAUGCCUGUAAUCCAAGCACUUUGGAGGCCAAGGUGGGCGGAUCACCUGAGGUCAGGAGUUCAAGACCAGCCUGGCCAACAUGGUGAAACCUGUCUUUAAAAAAAAAAGAAAAGAAACCCUGACUAGGGCCGGGCGCGGUGGCUCAUGCCUGUAAUCGCAGCACUUUGGGAGGCCAAGGCGGGCGGAUCACCUGAGGUCACGAGUUCAAGACCAGCCUGGCCAACAUGGUGAAACCCUGUCUCUACUAAAAAUACAGAAAUUAGCCAGGCGUGGUAGCAUGCCCCUGUGGUCCCAGCUAUUUGGGAGUCUGGGGCAGAAGAAUUGCUUAAACCCAGGAGGCAGAGGUUGCAGUGAGCUGAGAUUGUGCUACUGCACUCCAGCCUGGCAACAGAGCAAGACUCUGUCUCAAACAACAACAACAACAACAACAAAAAACCCUGACUAAGGGGAUUUUAUCUCCACCAGGGGGCCAGUAGGUGGGAAGUGGCUUAAACAAUGUAGGUUUAUCAUCUCACAGUUCUGGAGGUCAGAAGUCUGAAAUGGGCCUCACCGGGCUAAAAUCAAGGUGUCUGCAGGGCUGUGUUUCUUCUGGAGCCUCCAGGGAAGGAAGGGGAGGAUCUACUUCUGUACCUUUCCAGCUUCUGGAGGCUGCCUGUGUUCCUUGUGGUCCCUUCCUCUACCUUCGAGCCAGCAGCAGAGGGCUGAGUCCUUCUCAUGCCGUGUCUCUGUUCUCUCUCCUGCCUCCUUAUCCACACUGAAGAACCCUUGUGAUCACACUCAGGAUAAUCUCCCAGUUUGAAGGUCAGCUGAUUAGCAACUUUCAUGCCAUCUGCUACCUUCAUUCCCCUUGGCCAUAUGAUGAGAUUCACAGGUUCUGGGGAUUAAGACAUGGACAUCUUGCGGCAGGGGCAUAAUUCUGUUGAUGACACCAAGAAAUACCUGGAUGUUAAGGAUUCACUGAACACUGUUCAGGCUCCAGGUGCUGGGAGCAGCAGUGAACAAAGCCGACAGACACGGCCACCCUUAAGGAGUUCGUUCACAUUCAAGGGUGAGGGAACAGAAUGAAACCCGGCAAUGAAAAUAAGUAGCAUAAUUGACAGAGAAGACAUGGAGAAUGACAUCCGGCCCCUUAUUUCUUUUCUGUUUUCGUCUGAGAUGGAGUUUCACUUUUGUUGCCCAGGCUGGAGUGAAGUGGCGUGAUCUCGGCUCACUGCAACCUCUGCUCCCGGAUUCAAGUCAUUCUCCUGCCUCAGCCUCCCGAGUAGCUGGGACUACAGGCACCUGUCCCCACGCCCGGCUAUGCACUUAGGUUUUUGAAGGGUCCCUCAGGCUUGGGGUGGAGAGUGAAGGGAAGCAGGGGGCAGUAGUUUAGGUCUUGCAAUUGUCCAGGCGAGACAUGACAUUGCCUUUGACGGUGGCACGGGUGGAGUUCAUGAGAAUCAGUCAGAGAGCACAUCUGUUUUGAGGCUGGAGCUGAGGGUAUUUGCUGGUGGACUGCCCUAGAACAGAGGUUAAGUGCAGAGUCGGGCUGACUACAAGCUGUCUGGUUUAGGUUGAUAGAAGAAAGAAGUUGCGUUUGCGGCAUGAGGAAAAUGGAAGCAGAUUUUGGGAGGAGAAUGAAGGGUUUGGCUUCCAACACGCUGCGCUCGAGGUGCUGUUUAAGAUGUGGAGUUCAGUUAUACUGAUGAGGCUGGAGUUGGUUCAAAUAUAAAAGGAGGGUCAUCUAAAUAUAGAUAUUAAAGGUAAUCCUGAGGGAGAUGAGGUUACUGAGAGGGUGUGGGGAGGCAGGAGCAGAGUGAGGCUGGGGAGGGGCAGCUGGGAGGAGGGAGAGAAGCCCAGCGAUGUCCUUGGUGUCCCUGUGAAGAUGGCACUUCCGGCGGUAGGAGAGACCACCCCUCCCUCCCUGCUUCUGAGAUAGGCUGAGAAAUGACCCUACACAGCAACUCAGGGCACUGGUGACUGUUAGCACACCCCAAAUCAAACAAACACCCAUUAAAGAGGGAGUGCCUCUAAGAAGCAAAAGGGGUGCUGCCCAGGCUUCAGAGGGGAGACAUGGGUUCAUUUUCUAACAUGCCAAUACCCCUAGACCACCCAUGCCCCUGUCAGAAAAAUCCUGGCUCCACGAUCAGCUUUGAAACAACUUUAUUAGAAGGCUUCUUUAAAUGACAACUUCCAAUUCUUUCUUAAUUUGCUUUUUGACAAUUCCAGUUAUAACUAUAUAUAUAUAUUCAUAUAUAACAGUAUUUUUGCAUUGAUCUUUGCAUCCUAUUGAAGGUUUGCCAGUGGGCCGGCGUUGUUGAGCAAGGGCAGCAGAAGGCUGGGAGGGAGGGAGCCAGCCCCCCACCCUCUCUUCCAGCCCUGCCCACCGCAAAUGCACAGGGAGAGGCACCUCACUGCCUUGCCGUUCAGAAAGAGUGAAAUACAGAAACCCCCCCAGUGCAGGAGGUGACUGGACUUCCACCUUCAAGUUGAUUGGGGAUCCCCCCACCCUCUCUAAGCCCCCAGUCAAACCCUGAAAUCCUAAGGCUCCCUGGGGGUGGGGCAAGUCCUUCCCCCGCUCCUCUGCCUUCAGUCCCAAGAAGAAUUUCUUUGAAAUUCUAAGACUGUGGUUGCCCAAGGCCCCUCCUUCCUCUCCUCUUCCCACCCCAGCAGGCGGGCUUGGGAAGGUACAAUCAACCAUGAACAUAAAUAUGAAUAAAAAAUGAACUUGAAAAUGACAAGCUAUUAAUUAAAUCUAUAAAAAUAGUUAGGACAUAACUCUGUUCAAAUAAAUACAAAAUAAAUAGGUUCCAAGCAGUGACACGAGUGGAAUGUGAGGCUGGUCCCGCUGUGGCAGGGGCUGAAUAGGAACCCCCAGGGACAUCAGAACAGAGUCUGAGCAGACAGCCAAACUCCCGGCUCCCUUGUCUUCCUCUAGAAGCACAGAACUCGCUCGUUUGUCCAGCUUGUCUUUCUGGACAAAACCCUUUUCCCAACAAUGCAUAAUUAAGGCCUCCAACACCUUUUCCUUCCCUCUCCAGGACACACAAACGCUCUGCCCUUCUCUCUCAAACACAGUGUUCCACUGCCCUCAGGCCACAGCGGGACAGUGAGUUUGGUUUGGAGCUGGUGCCAGUCCUGGCAGGGUCUGGGCCAGCUCGGAGCACCGUAAGCCCAGCAUUUGCCUUCGGUGCAGCUGGGUCAGGCGGCCCAAGCCCCCUGCACUCCCAUGCAUGCCCAGUAGCCCCAGCCAUCAGCAGGGCUCAGACACCAGUCAGUGCAAGGCCAGACCCUUUCCUCUUCCUGGCACAGCCAAGUUGGCAUCAGUG